UACGGAGGGGGCUAGCGUUGUUCGGAAUUACUGGGCGUAAAGCGCACGUAGGCGGAUCGUUAAGUCGGGGGUGAAAUCCUGGAGCUCAACUCCAGAACUGCCUUUGAUACUGAGGAUCUUGAGUUCGGGAGAGGUGAGUGGAACUGCGAGUGUAGAGGUGAAAUUCGUAGAUAUUCGCAAGAACACCAGUGGCGAAGGCGGCUCACUGGCCCGAUACUGACGCUGAGGCACGAAAGCGUGGGGAGCAAACAGG
rnacentral:rRNA from 1 species